rnacentral:rRNA from 1 species
UGAUGUGGGGCCGGCUUACCCAUGCCAAGUCGAACGGUCUCUUCGGAGGCAGUGGCAGACGGGUGAGUAACGCGUGGGAACCUACCUUUCGGUACGGAACAACAGUUGGAAACGACUGCUAAUACCGUAUACGCCCUAUUGGGGAAAGAUUUAUUGCCGAGAGAUGGGCCCGCGUUGGAUUAGCUGGUUGGUGGGGUAAUGGCCUACCAAGGCGACGAUCCAUAGCUGGUCUGAGAGGAUGAUCAGCCACACUGGGACUGAGACACGGCCCAGACUCCUACGGGAGGCAGCAGUGGGGAAUAUUGGACAAUGGGGGCAACCCUGAUCCAGCCAUGCCGCGUGAGUGAUGAAGGCCUUAGGGUUGUAAAGCUCUUUCGCCGGUGAAGAUAAUGACGGUAACCGGUAAAGAAGCCCCGGCUAACUUCGUGCCAGCAGCCGCGGUAAU